rnacentral:rRNA from 1 species
GAUGAACGCUGGCGGCGUGCCUAAUACAUGCAAGUCGAGCGAACAGACGAGGAGCUUGCUCCUCUGACGUUAGCGGCGGACGGGUGAGUAACACGUGUAUAACCUACCUAUAAGACUGGGAUAACUUCGGGAAACCGGAUCUAAUACCGGAUAAUAUAUUGAACCGCAUGGUUCAAUAGUGAAAGACGGUUUUGCUGUCACUUAUAGAUGGAUCCGCGCCGCAUUAGCUAGUUGUUAAGGUAACGGCUUACCAAGGCGACGAUGCGUAGCCGACCUGAGAGGGUGGUCGGCCACCCUGGAACUGAGACACGGUCCAGACUCCUGCGGGAGGCAGCAGUAGGGAAUCGUCCGCAAUGGGCGAGAGCAUGACAGAGCAACGCCGCGUGAGUGCUGAAGGUCUUCGGAUCGUAAAGCUCUGUUAUUAGGGAAGAACAAAUGUGUAAGUAACUGUGCACGUCUUGACGGUACCUGGUCAAAAAGCCACGGCUAACUACGUG